GUCUACGGCCACGCCACCCUGAACGCGCCCGAUCCCGUCUGAGCUCGGAAGCUCAGCAGGGUCGGGCCUGGUCAGUUCUUGGAUGGGAGACCACCCAGGACGACCAGGUGCCGUAGGCA
rnacentral:rRNA from 1 species